rnacentral:rRNA from 1 species
AUGUUCAGUGCAACUGCCUCUUUCAACAAGUGGCUUGAGUAUGUAUUUUCAUAUUUCUUCCAAGCAAAGCGUGUGAAUUUUCCAUCUGUCAUGUUCUAUUCAUUUCAAAUGCAUAACUUUACUCCCCUAAAAUGCUAUCAUAGUAACCUAAUUACACAGUCACACACACACACACACAAGUUAAUGAUUUCCAGUUCAUUACUUACAAGCACAAUUUGGGAAAGCAAAAUACAGUGCCUACUCAGCCAAAUUCCUGUGUACAGUGUAUCUGAAAGAAGACUUAUAGGGCAACCAUUCAACACACUUAUCUAUCCUCCUCCUAAGACAUUUAUUUAUUUCUUUUUGCUGGGCUUCAGGCAUACUCUUGCAUACCAUCUCAAUCAGACCAGGCAACUCCAGUGUAGCAUCCUUUGCAUAGUAGUGGAGAAUUUUGGGAAGAAAAAUGAUCUGCUUCCUGACCAUGACAUUAGCUCUAAUAAACUCAGUCUUGGCUUGAUCCAGUUGAUGAUCCAGUUUCUUGGCUGUGUACAACCUUACCUGCAGAGAUUUUGUACAGUAAGAAUAAUGUGA